GUGAUCACCAUCACCAUUCGUUACCGACUCUGCUGGUCUUUGAGGUUGGGUGUAGGGAGUUGUUUAGAAAUUAUUUAUUUAUUAUAACAAAUGAUUUAGGAACAAUUGCUUCUUGUAAUAUUACGCUCUAAAUAUUGCCACUUUUUAUAUUUUUUUUCUGAUAUCUCUUUUUCCUCCCUUAUUUACUGACCAGCAAAGUGUCUUCGCAAUUUUUAAGGUUAUAUUUACUAUUUUCGUAACCUUGUGCUCCAUAUUCUUGAAAUAUUGUAUACUACUUAUACAGAACGUAAAUCGUGUGUUAUUAGUCAUCAGAUAUUCCAUAAGAAUACCAUUAUCAUGUCAGUAUCAUUAGAUUCUAUCUUAAAUCUUGCCCUUGUGGCAUUCUUGUACGGCGUAACCAAUCCAUUUAUCAAAAAAGGAGCUCAAGGUCUAGAAAAUGUAAAAUCAUCUUCGAGAUUUGGUCAAUUCUUUAAUGAAUUGGCAUUCCUAGUUACAAAACUGAAGUAUAUUGUACCAUUUAUCAUCAACCAGUGCGGUUCUAUAUUAUAUUUUUUAACUCUGAGUAGUACAGAUAUAUCACUGGCUGUUCCAGUCACUAAUUCACUUACCUUUGUGGUAACUGCGAUAACGGGUUGGUUUAUGGGUGAAGAAAAAAUACACAGAAAUACAUAUAUUGGAAUGGCAAUGGUACUGAUCGGGACAUUUCUUUGCUGCUGGGAUAAAAUAGAUGAAACUUUAUAGUUAUAUUGUAUUUAUAUAGGUGUAAAAAUACAGUUAGAGUCACAAAUGAACAAAUCACAAACACCAAUAACUAAUCGAGUAUCUUUUAUUUCUCGGAUGGAAUCGAAAUGAACGCGAGCGAAUCGAGUGAAAGGGACCAAAGCAAGCACAAGAAAAUUCAGUAGAAUCGAAUUGAAUGGAAACAUGAAUGAAUAUUAUGCAGGUGGUGUGGGUGGAAUGGAAUUAAAGGCUGAAGUCAAUUAGAUGUAGGGGACUCUGAGCGGACAAACUGAAUUAAAAUAGUUCUAAAAUAACUUGAUGCUUUUUAGCUAGAUAAGAAUUUUGCUCACUUUUAGUAAACAAUAUCCGUCUUCGCUCACGCGUUUUCUAUCGCAUUGUUCUCUCGGUACGGCCAUGGUUCCAAUGUACUGUUAAUUCUAUCACGCGUUUGGCCCCUUGUCCGCUGCAGGAAGGAAAACGAAUUCGUGCCCAACACGUGAACGCAAAAAUCGUCAUACAUCGCUGCCGACGACGUACCGUUUCACGUAAUUGAAAAACCACGGAAGCGCAAGCUUUCAAACAACAACCGUCGCAACGAAUUCGAACCCCGUGCACAGUCUUAUCUGAGAAUCACCCUGAACCAGGGCUGGGGAACCUUUCUAGCAUUGGGAGGUCAUUUGUCACUUUGUGAAUUUUUUAUAACGUAGUACACGACGUGUAAAGUAUUAAAAAAUAUAAGAUGACAGUUGCAUGUAUCAGGGUGUUUCAGAAAAUUCGUGUUAAUUACAGUCCAUGUUAGCAAAUAAGAUGAAACAUUGUCGACUCUUGAGGUUUCUUCAAUGAUUAAGUUGUUUGGAAAAUAUUAAAUAUUUAAGAACACUUAAGAAAUGAAUUAUUUUUGAAAUUCAAGUCGUGAUAUCGUUAACUGAUACAAGCUCACGGUAUUCAAAAUGAUGAUUUGGUUAGUUCCUUAUAUAUAUUAUUAGCACAUAGUUCACAACCUCGUGUUUGUAUUAUUAAGUGUUUCUCUACAUAAUCCUCAAACAUUGAAGAGCGGACGAUCAAAGUCGAAAAUGUUUUACCUUGUUAUAUAGACUGAUUAAUAAAUAAAAAAAAUGCCUAAUUUUUUCUGAGACAUCCUAAUAAAUUAAUGUUAAAAUACAUGCUUCUUCAGAAUGUGAAAUUUCCUAAGCGAAGAAGAUACAGGAUAGACAAAAUAAGCGAAAGGGCUUGGAGUACCUCAAAGUAUCACAGGUUCCCCAUCCCUGCCCUAAACGAAAGACGCGAACGUUCCUCUGUUGCGAACAGGCAACGCCCACAAUUCUUAUAUAUAAUUAACUUGCUCGUACAGAAACGAAGACCGUCGAUAUUGGAACGCUGAUCAGGUGUUCAAAGUAUCGUGUUGCUUUCAUUUAUCGUUUAGUAUGUACUUUGGUAAAACGGUUGUUCUAUGGGCAGGGAAUCUCCAGGCUUCCAGAAAAGAUACAGUGGGUGUAGAAUGUAUUCGUACACCGAUCAAUUUCCCAAAAAACUUUUGUGUGAAAUUAUAGUUUCUUAACUUCAUUUUUUAUAGUCAAUGGUAUUUUAUUAAGUUCUCCCAAAAGUUUCUUUCGUCAGUUGCAUUCAAUUAUUUUCUGUGACAGUGUUUAUAUAAAUAGACAAUCUAAUUUCUUAGACAUUGAUGUUGUAACAGUAAUGAAGCGAAAUGAAUUGUACACAAUUUUGUAAUGUAAUAUAAAACAUAAAAUAUUGUGUAUGAAUUAAUUAUUAAUAAAACGAAAGAAACUUUUGGGACAACCUAAUGCAUAUUCUUGGAAAUCUCUAAGAUAGAUAUAGUCCAAACAACAUUUACUAGUUAAUAUAAUUUGUGAAAUUAACAAAACAAUGCGAAAAGUGGGUGAAAGUAUAGAAGCGAUAAGUAUUUGGACGAUUUUUAUGACAAACCAUUUACAGUAGAGUUUGUAACGUAAACACAUUACUUUACUGCUUCGUACGAAUUAGAAAACAUCAAAUUUCCAGUAAAGUACUUUUAAAAAUGGCUCUAAUAGAGGAAUUGAAGAAGAUCCCACUUCGAAUAACUAAUAAUUAGACUGCGGAACUUUAUGUAAAAUAAAAUCUUUGCAAACAUGCCUACUAAAAUUUAACUUAAAUAGGACUUUAUUUUAUUCUCCAAAUAUUAUAACAUGAGUUUUACUUUCAAUCUUUUUUAUAUUCUUCCAUAUUGUUUCCAUUUUGUAGUUUCUUGCGCAUUCAAAUUUCCUAUAAAUGUAUAAAGAUUCGCAGUCUACUAAUAAUUUAGUUAAUUUAAUGCUUAGAAAAGUUACAAUAAUUAUAAAAUCAAAAGGAAAUCCCACGAAGGAAGUAUUAUAUACUUGUAAAUUAAUGUAAAUUUCUUCUUUGUUUGAAUGAAGUUUUAAAAAUUAGACAGUUGUGCGAAUACUUAUUGCUUCAAUAUUUCUAUCGAUUAAUUGUUUCUUUCUUGUUAAUUUCGCAACUUAGAUAAAUAGCUGUUUUUUUAUAAUCUAUCUAUUCUAGAGAUUUCCGAGAAUAUGUAGAAUGUCAUUGUUUAUAUAAAAAUAAGUUAAUAAAUUACAAUUUUACACAGUUUCUUUGGAAAUCGAUCGGUGUACGAAGACUUUCUACACCCACUGUAUGGGAUGUCUUCUGAAGAUUUCCAACCGAGAUGAUCAAGCAUCGACGAUACCAGGAACUAUUAGUCGCGUGUCAAUGGAUCGACACGUACGAAUUGAAUCCGAAGGAGAAAAAUGAAGUAAAUACAGGACGGAUAUGUUUAACCUCAGAGCUAGAGACAUUAUCCUAUACAUCUUCUAUGACGAUAAAAUACCUCUUUUGCUACAACGCGCGAGUCGAAGGCUUCCAACGUCCACACCUUGCGAAAGGAAUAAUAUCCUCAGGACUGUAAACCUUGACAUCGAAGUCGAGUAUGAAAAGACGUCGCGCUGGUCUCUUUAUCAGCCAUUUGCCACCACGCAAAUUCCCGUUUCCCGGAUAUGUUCGAUUAAACUAGAUACACGCAUGAUUUUCGUUUGGAGCUUACGCUGGUUGAUCGUCGCGACGUCUUUUUAUUUCUGGAUCCUAUUGAUACAGCGAUCCGUCGUGUUUUUCUCCAUGCAUGUACGUGCAUGUACACGGAACGUUGCACACGUCGAGUAAACGUUAGUGAUAUCUCUUUUACAUUACAUUUACAUACAUUAAAGCUGCACCUUUACGUGUAUACGAAUACACAUCUAACGUAAUUAUGUACAAUGACGUUACAACCCCAGGGAUCUAAUCCACAGCGGAUACUUGAGGUCCGAUUUAUCUUGACUCGAGGUCGAUUUUUUCGGUCAGAAGAGAUUUGUUAUUUUCAUUUUUAAUUGGGAAAUCAACAAAACUUUAUUUUUACACCAAUCGCUGAUCAAUUUUUCUAACAUUCUUUUGUAAGAAUCUACGGACUAAGGAGACCAAGAUAUAUGUAGAUCAUUAAAUAUGAUCUAGAGUCAGAGAAGGCUGUCUAUUCCUGGGUUAGCUUCACGAUUGAGCUUCAUGAUUCAGUGUUUUCCGUGAAGAGGAGAAAUUGUUAUGUGUGUGAAGUUAGACCCGCACUUUUCGAAUUUUUAGUUUUUCUUUCUUGUGCCGUAUUGUGCUAUAUUUGUGCUGAAUUGUGCUGUAAAUAAGAGAUCGAUAACAUCAAUAACAAUUAAGAAAAGAAAUAAGCGAAACAAGCCGAAGCUGUCGGCAUAGAUCAAACAAUGUGGGAACUCCAUGAUAAAUGCACACUUUCAAUCCCGAGCUUGUGCAUUUAUCGAGGCAUUACUGCACUCCGCUACCCGCGAGCGCGUGCGAAUGCGAAUGCAAGUUCUUAACGUCUGAUUUCUAACUUUGCUAACGCUGCGAAAUCUGGCGAUCUGACGAGAUUUUGUAAUUAGGAAUAGUUGUUGUGCUAGUCUAGCAGGAUCCGGCACAAUCAAAGUAAAUUCGGAAAUAUCAAAAUUUUUAAUCACCGCCACCUUUUUUUGUUAAUUUUUAUCGACCUUCGAGCUAAUCUCAAAUUUUAACGCACGUGUCUCGUGUAUUGUAAGUAGCACAAUUUAGCACAACUUGCAGAAUUCGAUUAUUUGUCGCCGUUCGUAAAUUGUACGAAUAUUAAAUUGUUUAUUCCUUAAAAUUCAACAUUUUUUUAUGUGCAAAAUGAGUAGAGAUAACGAGUUUCUAUCAAUGGUACAAUGUAGCACAAGUUAGUACGCAUCUUUCUAUAGAAAAAAAGUUUGUUUCGGCAAAAGUGCGGGGCUAGUAUAGUUUUGGUUUUAUUUCUUUUCUUAAUUGUUAUUGAUGUUAUCAAUUUCUUAUUUACGGCACAAUUCAGCACAAAUAUAGUACAACACGGCACAAGAAAGAAAAACUCAAAAUUCGAAAAGUGCGGGGCUAACUUCACACACAUGAAAUUGUUAUUUAUAGAAGCUUAGUUAAUAUCAAUAUUAUUUUUAAUGUUUGCAUAUGUAAUUCAAAUUACGCUCGUUUUUAUAGUCAACCCAAAGGCCAUCUAUCGGUGAGAGGGUCGAACUAAUUUUUGGAGUUUGGUCAGCGCCUCUAUCGGGAAAAUGCUCAAGUUUGUCCUCAAUAGUUCCCUUUUUCACCGUUAGAUGGCGCCAUUUAUAUGGUAAUUACCGACAUGAUGGUAAUGUAUCGACACGUGUCGGUAAAAAAAAACAGCGUAAAUGGCGCCAUCUAGCAAUAAAAAGAGGAAUUAUUGAGGACAAACUUGAACGUUUUCCCGAUAGAGGCGCUGACCAAACUCCGAAAAUUAGUUCGACCCUUUCACCGCUAGAUGGCCGUUGGGUUGACUUUAAAAACGCGCGAAAUUUGAACGUAUUAUGCGACCAUUAAGAGCAAUUUCUUGUGCUAAUUGUUAAAAUACCGCCUGGAAAGGUGAAUCGAGUCAGAGAAAUCGGACCUUGAAGAAGAAACUAGUCUUGGUCAUUCGCCUUGGCGACCAGCCGGUCUCGAGGAAGCUUGUAAAGCUUCCGUCUUCGCGGAAAUCCACUUUCAUCGGGCGAGCGCGUUGAUAAAUGGGGCUUGGCGUUUCGCGAAGACUUUCAACUUCAACUCUACGAUAUUGUACCGCAAGAAAAGCCGUACUUUCUUAAGGAGACACGUUGAGUGCCAAUUUUCUUUCACUUUUCGCUCGGGCCGCUUGAGCUGUGGUCCAAAUCGGUUAGAAAACAAACAAAGGAGACACUUAUGAAAUGAGAAAAUACCGCGUAGAAAUUUACAAAAUUUUUAAAUGUUUGAGCGAAAGAUGGAGCGAAAAUUGAAUGAAAAACGUUGCAAAACUUUGCGAGGGAAACUUUUGUGAAGCAUAAACGAAAAGUGAGCGACAGCACUCAACCUGUCGAUACUUCGAUUCGAAUUCAACACUUGUGCGAUAAUCAAGCGCGUGUAAUAAAUUCUGAAAGCUCUCCGAGUAAGGCUACGGUUACCAUGGAUGCGAAUUCGGACAAAAAUAUGUUCGGACGAGUUCUGACGAAUUCGUCUGAACAAACAAACGCCUAUUUUUCAAUGGGAGUGUUUACAGUGGCAACGAUAAACAUGUCAGAACAUUUACGACGGCGUCAGAACUAGUUGAGGAUUCAAACAAGUUUGAUUUUUUCGUGCGACCUGCGUCUAUUCUUUUAGUCAGUAUGUUUCUGCCGCCCAG